UACGUAGGCAGCAAGCGUUGUUCGGAAUUACUGGGCGUAAAGAGUGCGUAGGCGGUUUUCUAAGUUUGGUGUGAAAUCUCCCGGCUUAACUGGGAGGGUGCGCCGAAAACUGGAAGGCUUGAGUAUGGGAGAGGUAAGCGGAAUUCCUGGUGUAGCGGUGAAAUGCGUAGAUAUGACAUAGAACACCAAUUGCGAAGGCAGCUGACUACAGGGGCAUUGACACUGAGGCACGAAAGCGUGGGGAUCAAACAGG
rnacentral:rRNA from 1 species